GAUGAACGCUAGCUACAGGCUUAACACAUGCAAGUCGAGGGGCAGCAUGACGAUAGCUUGCUAUUGUUGAUGGCGACCGGCGCGACGGGUGAGUAACGCGUAUCCAACCUUCCCGUUGCUAGGGGAUAACCUUGCGAAAGUAAGACUAAUACCCUAUGAAGUUCUUCGCAGGCAUCUAAAGAGAACGAAAGAUUUAUCGGCAACGGAUGGGGAUGCGUCUGAUUAGGUUGUUGGCGGGGUAACGGCCCACCAAGCCCACGAUCAGUAGGGGUUCUGAGAGGAAGGUCCCCCACAUUGGAACUGAGACACGGUCCAAACUCCUACGGGAGGCAGCAGUGAGGAAUAUUGGUCAAUGGACGGAAGUCUGAACCAGCCAAGUAGCGUGCAGGAAGACGGCCCUAUGGGUUGUAAACUGCUUUUAUGUGGGAAUAAAGUGAGGGACGUGUCCCUUUUGUAGGUACCACAUGAAUAAGGACCGGCUAAUUCCGUG
rnacentral:rRNA from 1 species